CCCUGACUCAGUAAGGUCAGAGGUAACACACCUAGUGUGAAUAUGAAGGAGACGCACAUUAACAACUGGGAUUUGUAUGUUGUCAUCUUGCCAGGGUUGGCCCAGAAUCUUCGAAGUUUGAAGAUUAAUCUGAACAGUUCUGCAGUUAACUGGAGUGUCAGCCUGGAUUUUGUGUGGAAUCGAUGGAGUGAAACUUGAACACAUCAUCUUCUGACUGGGAGUGGUCAGCAAUGUAUUUGAAACCUGUCAUGUGUCCAACAGCAAUAGAUUCCACUGAUCACUGAAGGUUAACCACUUCUCGGUGUUAGACUGCUGCAGGUCUAGCUGAGGACUGCAGGAGCUGCUGCUGACUGCAACAGCAAGAAACUUCUACAAGAUAUUAACAGCAACUUGCAUCUAUCAUAAAGCCUUGUAUGAAUUUAUUCAAACUAAA